rnacentral:lncRNA from 1 species
AGGGUUAAUUAGUAUUAAUUAAUGAGAUUAAUUAAUAAUUUUGCUGUAAAAUAGUAAUUUUGAAAAAGUUUUAAAAUUAUCAUUUUGCCCCUGCACUAAAUUUUCGCUUCAGCCCCACCACUCUCUGGCAAGUCACGACAACGGACACCACUCCACUCUCCAUAACAAACUCCACGUGGCCCUGAAUGGCCCACUGACGCCACUACUCUCCGUAACAAACUCCACGUGGUCCCGAACGGCUCACUAUCAGGCAAUUACGGAUGUCGCUAUCAAUCAGUUACACUCUCCCAUCUAUAAGAGGGACCCCCAGAUACAUUCUUCUUUAAGCUCUAAACUCUAUCUCAAAACUUUGCUAAAAUUCCAUUCGAGUGCUCCAUUUCUGUUGAGACAGAGUACUGACUUGAGCAUCGGAGGGUCUUGCCGGAGCACCCCCAUCUCUGGUUUAGACUUUCCUUGCAAGUCCCGGUGGCGGCC